rnacentral:lncRNA from 1 species
AUAUGAGUUGACACAAAUGGAAGAAUCGAAGAGAGGUUGUGAGUACAUGUCUUCUGGAAGUUACUUUCUCCACUUACCACUUCUGGUGCCAGGCAGCCUACCAUCCCCUCUGCUGCUGUUUACUACCACCAUUCAGAAGUGUUCUUCAAACUACAUCUUUUGAGCCUGGUAGCAUUUGUAUCAAAUUCACCUGGAGCUUCUGUUGCCCUAGAAGCUGACUGAAGUGUGGGUCAAGUCUGACAUCAAGUGGUCAGAUGCACGCUGUUCCCAAUGGGACAAUUACAGUGCCUCUCCUCCUGUCUUAUGAAGAACCUCCACCUCCACUUUUUUUCUCCAUGUUUUUUCUUCUUAACAUGAUUUCUUAGCGCUCUUCCUGCUUUGGUUUCC